ACACAUGCAAGUCGAGCGGUAAGGCCUUUCGGGGUACACGAGCGGCGAACGGGUGAGUAACACGGGGGUGAUCUGCCCUGCACUCUGGGAUAAGCUUGGGAAACUGGGUCUAAUACCGGAUAUGACCACAGCAUGCAUGUGUUGUGGUGGAAAGAUUUAUCGGUGCAGGAUGGGCCCGCGGCCUAUCAGCUUGUUGGUGGGGUAAUGGCCUACCAAGGCGACGACGGGUAGCCGACCUGAGAGGGUGACCGGCCACACUGGGACUGAGACACGGCCCAGACUCCUACGGGAGGCAGCAGUGGGGAAUAUUGCACAAUGGGCGGAAGCCUGAUGCAGCGACGCCGCGUGAGGGAUGAAGGCCUUCGGGUUGUAAACCUCUUUCAGCAGGGACGAAGCGUGAGUGACGGUACCUGCAGAAGAAGCACCGGCUAACUACGUGCCAGCAGCCGCGGUAAUACGUAGGGUGCGAGCGUUGUCCGGAAUUACUGGGCGUAAAGAGUUCGUAGGCGGUUUGUCGCGUCGUUUGUGAAAACCCGGGGCUCAACUUCGGGCUUGCAGGCGAUACGGGCAGACUUGAGUGUUUCAGGGGAGACUGGAAUUCCUGGUGUAGCGGUGAAAUGCGCAGAUAUCAGGAAGGAACACCGGUGGCGAAGGCGGGUCUCUGGGAAACAACUGACGCUGAGGAACGAAAGCGUGGGUAGCAAACAGGAUUAGAUACCCUGGUAGUCCACGCCGUAAACGGUGGGCGCUAGGUGUGGGUUCCUUCCACGGGAUCUGUGCCGUAGCUAACGCAUUAAGCGCCCCGCCUGGGGAGUACGGCCGCAAGGCUAAAACUCAAAGGAAUUGACGGGGGCCCGCACAAGCGGCGGAGCAUGUGGAUUAAUUYGAUGCAACGCGAAGAACCUUACCUGGGUUUGACAUACACCGGAAAACCGUAGAGAUACGGUCCCCCUUGUGGUCGGUGUACAGGUGGUGCAUGGCUGUUGUCAGCUCGUGUCGUGAGAUGUUGGGUUAAGUCCCGCAACGAGCGCAACCCUUGUCUUAUGUUGCCAGCACGUAAUGGUGGGGACUUGUAAGAGACUGCCGGGGUCAACUCGGAGGAAGGUGGGGACGACGUCAAGUCAUCAUGCCCCUUAUGUCCAGGGCUUCACACAUGCUACAAUGGCCAGUACAGAGGGCUGCGAGACCGUGAGGUGGAGCGAAUCCCUUAAAGCUGGUCUCAGUUCGGAUCGGGGUCUGCAACUCGACCCCGUGAAGUCGGAGUCGCUAGUAAUCGCAGAUCAGCAACGCUGCGGUGAAUACGUUCCCGGGCCUUGUACACCCCGCCCGUCCCGUCCUGAAAGUCGGUAACACCCGAAGCCGGUGGCCUAACCCCUUACG
rnacentral:rRNA from 1 species